GGUUAGGGCUCAGUGGUAGAGCACUUGCCUAGCACAUGUGAGGCACUGGGUUCAAUCCUCAGCACCA
rnacentral:tRNA from 1 species